rnacentral:rRNA from 1 species
AGAGUUUGAUUAUGGCUCAGAACGUACGCUGGCGGCACGCCUAACACAUGCAAGUCGAACGAAGUAGCAAUACUUAGUGGCAGACGGGUGAGUAACAUGUAGGUAUCUGCCCUUUGGCCUGGAAUAACACGAGGAAACUUGUGCUAAUACCGGAUAAGUCUUUACGGAGAAAGCUUUAUGCACCAUUGGAUGAGCCUGCACUUGAUUAGUUUGUUGGUGGGGUAAUGGCCUACCAAGACUGUGAUCAAUAGCUGAUUUGAGAGGAUGAUCAGCCACAUUGGGACUGAGACACGGCCCAAACUCCUACGGGAGGCAGCAGUGGGGAAUCUUGCACAAUGGAGGAAACUCUGAUGCAGCGAUGCCGCGUGAGUGAAGAAGGCCCUUGGGUUGUAAAGCUCUUUCGUCGGGGAAGAAAAUGACUGUACCCGAAUAAGAAGGUCCGGCUAACUUCGUGCCAGCAGCCGCGGUAAUACGAAGGGACCUAGCGUAGUUCGGAAUUACUGGGCUUAAAGAGUUCGUAGGUGGUUGAAAAAGUUAGUGGUGAAAUCCCAGAGCUUAACUCUGGAACUGCCAUUAAAACUUUUCAGCUAGAGUAUGAUAGAGGAAAGCAGAAUUUCUAGUGUAGAGGUGAAAUUCGUAGAUAUUAGAAAGAAUACCAAUUGCGAAGGCAGCUUUUCUGGAUCAUUACUGACACUGAGGAACGAAAGCAUGGGUAGCGAAGAGGAUUAGAUACCCUCGUAGUCCAUGCCGUAAACGAUGUGUGUUAGACGUUGGAAAUUUAUUUUCAGUGUCGCAGGGAAACCGAUAAACACACCGCCUGGGGAGUACGACCGCAAGGUUAAAACUCAAAUGAAUUGACGGGGACCCGCACAAGUAGUGGAGCAUGUGGUUUAAUUCGAAGAUACGCGCAGAACCUUACCAACACUUGACAUGUUCGUCGCGACUCUAAGAGAUUAGAGUUUUCGGUUCGGCCGGACGAAACACAGGUGCUGCAUGGCUGUCGUCAGCUCGUGUCGUGAGAUGUUGGGUUAAGUCCCGCAACGAGCGCAACCCUCACUUUUAGUUGCCAUCAUUAAGUUGGGCACUCUGAAAGAACUGCCAGUGAUAAGCUGGAGGAAGGUGGGGAUGACGUCAAGUCCUCAUGGCCCUUACGUGUUGGGCUACACACGUGCUACAAUGGUAUCUACAACAGGAAGCAAGACUGCGAAGUUAAGCAAAUCCCUAAAAGAUACCUCAGUUCGGAUUGCACUCUGCAACUCGAGUGCAUGAAGCUGGAAUUACUAGUAAUCGUGGAUCAGCGUGCCACGGUGAAUGCGUUCCCGGGUCUUGUACACACCGCCCGUCACACCAUGGGAGUUGGUUCUACCUUAAGGCAAGGUUUCAAACCCUUGACCACGGUAUAGUCAGCGACUGGGGUGAAGUCGUAACAAGGUA